rnacentral:ncRNA from 1 species
AUUUCGAGCAUUGAAAUGUGCUGCUGCUGAUUCCCUGACACAGGGGCGUGGCGACAAGAAAUAACAAUACUGGGGCAUCCAUGUCUUGUAAUUGGAAUGAGUAUCAAUUGGAGGGCAAGUCUGGUGCCAGCAGCCGCGGCAAUUGCAACUCCAAU